rnacentral:rRNA from 1 species
GAUGAACGCUGGCGGCGUGCCUAAUACAUGCAAGUCGAGCGAACAGACGAGGAGCUUGCUUCUCUGACGUUAGCGGCGGACGGGUGAGUAACACGUGGAUAACCUACCUAUAAGACUGGGAUAACUUCGGGAAACCGGAGCUAAUACCGGAUAAUAUUUUGAACCGCAUGGUUCAAUAGUGAAAGACGGUCUUGCUGUCACUUAUAGAUGGAUCCGCGCUGCAUUAGCUAGUUGGUAAGGUAACGGCUUACCAAGGCAACGAUGCAUAGCCGACCUGAGAGGGUGAUCGGCCACACUGGAACUGAGACACGGUCCAGACUCCUACGGGAGGCAGCAGUAGGGAAUCGUCCGCAAUGGGCGAAAGCCUGACGGAGCAACGCCGCGUGAGUGAUGAAGGUCUUCGGAUCGUAAAACUCUGUUAUUAGGGAAGAACAUAUGUGUAAGUAACUGUGCACAUCUUGACGGUACCUAAUCAGAAAGCCACGGCUAACUACGUG